AAUAGGGAAGAUCUUAAUUCGAUGCAAAGUGAAGAACCUUACCAGGGCUUGACAUGCCGUGAAUCCUCUUGAAAGAGAGGGGUGCCUUUGGGAACGCGGACACAGGUGGUGCAUGGUUGUCGUCAGCUCUUGUCGUAAGGUGUUGGGUUAAGUCCCGCAACGAGCGCAACCCUUGUGCUUAGUUGCUACCAUUGAGUUUGGAACCCUGAACAGACUGUUAGUGAUAAGCCGGAGGAAGGUGAGGAUGAUGUCAAGUCAUCAUGCCCCAUAUGCCCUUGGGGACACACGUGCUACAAUGGCCAGGACAAUGGGUCGCAAAUCCCCGAGGGUGAGCUAACUCCAAAAACUUGUCCUCAGUUCGGAUUGCAGACUGCAACUCACCUACAUGAAGCCGGAAUCGCUAGUAAUCGUCGAUCAACCAUACGGUGGUGAAUUCGUUCCC
rnacentral:rRNA from 1 species